rnacentral:rRNA from 1 species
AUUGAACGCUGGCGGCAGGCCUAACACAUGCAAGUCGAGCGGAUGAAGGGAGCUUGCUCCUGGAUUCAGCGGCGGACGGGUGAGUAAUGCCUAGGAAUCUGCCUGGUAGUGGGGGAUAACGUCCGGAAACGGGCGCUAAUACCGCAUACGUCCUGAGGGAGAAAGUGGGGGAUCUUCGGACCUCACGCUAUCAGAUGAGCCUAGGUCGGAUUAGCUAGUUGGUGGGGUAAAGGCCUACCAAGGCGACGAUCCGUAACUGGUCUGAGAGGAUGAUCAGCCACACUAGAACUGAGACACGGUCCAGACUCCUACGGGAGGCAGCAGUGGGGAAUAUUGGACAAUGGGCGAAAGCCUGAUCCAGCCAUGCCGCGUGUGUGAAGAAGGUCUUCGGAUUGUAAAGCACUUUAAGUUGGGAGGAAGGGCAGUAAGUUAAUACCUUGCUGUUUUGACGUUACCAACAGAAUAAGCACCGGCUAACUUCGUG